AUAGGAAGAUAAAAGGCAUCUUUUAUCUUUUAAAAGACCUAGUAAUAGGAAUGCUUUAGGAGGGGCUUGCGCCAUAUUAGUUAGUUGGUAGGGUAAUGGCCUACCAAGACGAUGAUGUGUAGCUGGACUGAGAGGGUGAACAGCCACAUUGGGACUGAGACACGGCCCAAACUCCUACGGGAGGCAGCAGUAGGGAAUUUUCGGCAAUGGAGGAAACUCUGACCGAGCAACGCCGCGUGAAUGACGAAGUACUUCGGUAUGUAAAGUUCUUUUAUCAAGGAAGAAAAGCAAAUGGCGAACCAUUUGUUUGCCGGUACCUGAUGAAUAAGCCCCGGCUAAUUAUGUGCCAGCAGCCGCGGUAAGACAUAAGGGGCAAGUGUUAUCCGGAAUUAUUGGGCGUAAAGGGUGCGUAGGCGGUCUAGUAAGUCAGUGGUGUAAUGGCAACGCUUAACGUUGUCCGGCUAUUGAAACUGCUAAACUUGAGUUAGAUAGAGGCGAGUGGAAUUCCAUGUGUAGCGGUAAAAUGCGUAAAUAUAUGGAGGAACACCAGAGGCGUAGGCGGCUCGCCGGGUCUUAACUGACGCUGAGGCACGAAAGCGUGGGGAGCAAACAGGAUUAGAUACCCUGGUAGUCCACGCCGCAAACGAUGAGUACUAGUGUCGGGUUAAACCGGUACUGAAGUUAACACAUUAAGUACUCCGCCUGAGUAGUACGUACGCAAGUAUGAAACUUAAAGGAAUUGACGGGACUCCGCACAAGCGGUGGAUCAUGUUGUUUAAUUCGAAGAUACCCGAAAAACCUUACCAGGUCUUGACAUGUUUUUGCAAAAUGAUAGUAAUAUCGUGGAGGUUACCAGAAACACAGGUGGUGCAUGGUUGUCGUCAGCUCGUGUCGUGAGAUGUUAGGUUAAGUCCUAAAACGAGCGAAACCCUUAUCGUUAGUUGCCAGCACGUUAUGGUGGGGACUUUAACGAGACUGCCAAUGAUAAAUUGGAGGAAGGUGAGGAUCACGUCAAAUCAGCAUGCCCCUUAUGACCUGGGCUACAAACGUGAUACAAUGGCUGUUACAAAGGGUAGCUGAAACGCAAGUUCUUGGCCAAUCCCCAAAAACAGUCCCAGUCCGGAUUGAAGUCUGCAACUCGACUUCAUGAAGUUGGAAUCGCUAGUAAUCGGGAAUCAGCAUGUCGCGGUGAAUACGUUCU
rnacentral:rRNA from 1 species